rnacentral:rRNA from 1 species
UACGGAGGGUGCAAGCGUUAUCCGGAAUCACUGGGCUUAAAGGGUGCGUAGGCGGUGAGAUAAGUCAGUCGUGAAAUCUCUUGGCUUAACCAAUGAAAUUGCGAUUGAUACUGUUUUACUUGAAAGAGGUUGAGGUCAGCGGAAUGUGGCAUGUAGCGGUGAAAUGCAUAGAUAUGCCAUAGAACACCGAUUGCGAAGGCAGCUGGCUGGGCCUACUUUGACGCUGAGGCACGAAAGCGUGGGGAGCAAACAGG